rnacentral:rRNA from 1 species
AGCGAACGCUGGCGGCGUGCUUAACACAUGCAAGUCGCGCGCGAAAGAGGCUUUCGGGUCUUGAGUAGAGCGGCGCACGGGUGCGUAAGACGCGGGUGACCUAUCCACGAGGUGGGGAUAACCCUUCGAAAGAGGGGCUAAUACCGGAUGAGCCCACAGGCAGAGAUGCUAGGGGGCAAAGGGUGCGAUUUACUAAGCGCAUCUCUUCGUGGCGGGGCCCACGCCUANCAGCUAGUUGGUGUGGUAACGGCACACCAAGGCGAAGACGGGUAGCUGGUCUGAGAGGAUGGCCAGCCACACGGGGACUGAGACACCGGCCCCGACUCCUACGGGAGGCAGCAGUGGGGAAUAUUGGGCAAUGGGCGCAAGCCU